AGUCAGCCUCGGGAGGGCUUUGUUAAGGGCCUCAAGUGUCACCUGUGUGAGGUAAGAAGAUAACUCAGUUGUUUCCUUGUCCAAUGAAAUCCAACUGAACCUCAGAAAAUGCACACACUCUAUAUUCAUCAAGUGGGAAGAAACUCAUGCAGUAUUGAAGCAUCCUGAGGAAGGGGAGUGUAAGCCUUAGGUGGUUUGAGCACAGAAUACCAGUGGGAAGAGUGGACACUGGGCAAGGGCUUAACCCAGAAGUGACUGAAGGAAGAGCAUUGGGAACACGGCCUCAGCAACCAUCACCGUGUGCAUGGGAGUCAGAGGCACACAUCUCACAAGGAAGGAGCAGCAGCCUGUGCACAUGACUUACAAAGCCCAUGAAGCCCAGAAAGUCACCAGGCCUCUCCCCAAGGCUAUGUAAGCAGUAGUAACUGCUGAGGAGGGGAGACUCUCAGGCCAGCAGAGGCCACCUGCAAGCCAUGCUGGGAGCCAGGACUGUAUCUUUCAUGAGUCAUCAUCCAUGCAAAGCUGGCCUUUUUGGUGAUGCAACUGCUUUUGAAUCCCCCAUGCUUCUAAGAGCUGAAGGCAUGGGAUGUCACACAGAGAGGAAGUUCUGUGAAGAUGGAGAUACAAACGAAAUGACAGCUGGGAGCCCAGAGAUGUCAAAGGUGGCAUCUACAGAUGCCAGAGAAAGAAUCAGACACAUCUCCCCCAGAGACUGCUAAGGAACCAGCCCUGACAGCGGGAACUAUCGGGGAGCAUGACUGGUUAUUGUGCCAUGAUGAAAUGGUGAGGUGCAGAGAGCCUGGAAGUGGUCAGACACUGAGCCCCAAGUAGGAAAACACAUCCAUUCUAAAAGACUCUUGCUCAGCUGCAGAUGUUGCCCUGAGAAGUCACCUUGCCUUAAGACCACUGUGGUUUUACUCUGGGUUCCCCAUGUGGUCUCCAAAUUUCUCCAUCUCUGUGUGUGGAUCUGUCUCUGUCUCUGUGGUGUGUGUGUGUGUGUGUGUGUGUGUGUGAGAGAGAGAGAGAGAGAGAGACAGAGAGAGAGACAGAGAGACAGAGAGACACAGAGAGACACAGAGACAGAGAGAGACACAGAGAGACACAGAGAGAGGCAGAGAACAAGCUAUGUAGCUCACUUUGCCCUAAAGCUUUAAGAACACAGUAGGAGCUUUAUUCACAGGCACAACAAAAUACCACUAUAGCCAUCUCUACCCUCUCUAGUCUCUCAGCCCUUAUGUCACACUUAGAGUCUCCUCUUCUACUUUCUCCCCAUCUCUACUGUGAGUCCAUCUUUCUUUCUAGAAGCUCCUGAUCUAAAUUCUCAUUGUUGCUCAAGAUUCCAACAUCACUCUCAAGUAGCUAUCCAAGCCAUUUCCUACCCAGCUUUGUUAAGAUGCCAGCCAUGCAGAUGAGCUCAGACUGUGGCACCAAGAGCAACAGGCUCCGCCUCUACCUCCUCUACCCAUGAUGACACACUUUAUGUUAUAAUUGUUCUUUUUCCUGUUCUAGUGUGUACUUCAGGAAGGAAGUGCACUUCGUAGUCUCCACCGUUAAAAAUAUGGUAUCAUCUGGGUGGU